AGAUCAUGUGAAAAAGAAAGCUACCAAUCUUCAAAGAGUCUCUUACCUUGUGUUUGAUGAAGCAGAUCGAAUGUUUGACAUGGGAUUUGAGUACCAAGUUCGAUCCAUAGCAAGUCAUGUUCGUCCUGACAGGCAGACUCUCUUAUUUAGUGCAACUUUUCGGAAGAAGAUUGAAAAGUUGGCCAGAGACAUCCUGAUCGACCCUAUUCGAGUGGUGCAGGG
rnacentral:misc_RNA from 1 species